AUAGAAUGAGCUCCAUUGCCUGGGAAUCAUUCUUGUCAGGAGUGCUUUCGUUCUAACCUAGGUAAAGAGGCUUUUCUUUUUCACUCUCUCAGGAUCCAAACAAGCAGACUACACACAGAAAGAUGACCGGGUAUCCAAGGGCAGGAGGAAAAUGCUGGAGAAAGGACCUCAAGUCAAGUGAUGGAUGGCUUCAAGGAAGGCACAACAGAGAGCUGUUGGGGUCCAGGAGAAGAAGUA
rnacentral:lncRNA from 1 species